AUUCCAGCUCCAAUAGCGUAUAUUAAAGUUGUUGCAGUUAAAAAGCUCGUAGUUGGAUUUCUGGUGGGAGCGUUGGGUCGGCCCUAAGGGCUCGUACUCAAAUGUUUUCCGCCAUCCUUGGAGGGAUGUUGUCUGGCAUUAAGUUGUCGGGCUUCCGAUCUCCAUCGUUUACUGUGAAAAAAUUAGAGUGUUCAAAGCAGGCUUACGCCGUUGAAUACAUUAGCAUGGAAUAAUAAGAUAGGACCCUGGUACUAUUUUGUUGGUUUGCGUACCUAGGUAAUGAUUAAUAGGGACAGUUGGGGGUAUUCGUAUUCCGUUGUCAGAGGUGAAAUUCUUGGAUUUACGGAAGACGAACUACUGCGAAAGCAUUUACCAAGGAUGUUUUCAUUG
rnacentral:rRNA from 1 species